AGUGAUGCAGAGGGAUCCACACCCACAUGACGCAGCCUCUCCAUCUUCAGAGCACUGAGAAGUCAGGUAAAGCCAUAAAUGCCCAUGACACUGAUAGUCAAUGUUGAGUUCCUUAGGAAAAGUAGGACUUAAAAGCUACACAUCAGAAGACUGACUGUAAGAUAAAUCAGUGAGGGAUUCAUGGAUGUCUGAACUAGUUUGUGAAGAACUGUAGGAUAUUGACUGCAGGGACGGCAAAUGCAGACACAAGGAGGCAGAAUCAUAUGCAGCAUAUUCAGGAAGGGUGUAUAACUUUUGGGGUGGCUGUAAAGCAAUAUGAAACAAUAUAUCAUCAAUCAGAAGGCUGACAAAAUGUCCUGCACCACCACCACCACCCACACUUCCCUGAAGGGAGAAGAGCUUUGUCAAAAGAUUUCCCGGUAAAUCAAAAGCACUUUGUGGAUAGGAAUAGUGUGGACCGUGCCUGAAUGAGACCUAGUUAUGUAUGUGGUGCUCUCCAAAAUGAGUUCUUGCUGGCGCCAGUCAAUCAAAUACCUAAACCCCUAAAUGAAUGAGGAAGUUUGAGAAACUGCUGUAGUAACUAGGUUAAGUUAAACAAAUACACCCAAGUUUUGCAUAGUUCUGUAUUCCUCCAAUCAAAAUAAAAUUUUCACAGCUUAGCUGCCCAAAUAUACUUGUGGCGCUAUCCUUCUUGAGGUCACGAAAUGACAUUCCUGCUAUGUGCUCUGUGCUGUGAAUACUGUGAUAACUCUACGAUUUCACAGACAUUUUCAGGGGUUUUAUGAUUCUGUGUCAGACCCUGUGAAAAGUCAGGGGAAAGAAAGACAAUGAAAAUAAUACAUUGCCCAGUCUUUUUUGUUUGUUUGUUUUUGUUUUUUUUGUUUUUUGUGUUUUUUUUUUUUUUUAGAGAUGGAGUCUCG
rnacentral:lncRNA from 10 species